rnacentral:rRNA from 1 species
AAAUAGAAGUGAAAAUGUCAGCUUAAGUAGCAUAAAUAUUAGUAAAAUCUAAUACUCCGAAAGCUAAAAGGUUUCCUAUGGAAGGGUAUACCACGUAGGUAAAGUCGGGGACUAAAAUUAGAUUUAAUAUGUAAUUGAUGGUUAAAAGGUUAAAUUUCCUUUACCAUAAUAUAUAAUCUAAACAAAUAGUGACCUAUAGUUUUUUAUUAUAUUUUUAAGGUAUAGUUUCUUAAUAUAAUAAAAUAAUAUAGCUAGAAAAAUGUAUAUGUUAUAUAUAUAUUAUGCCCGUACUAAAACUGACACAAGUAAGCAAGUAUAAAUAUACUAAGGAGUACGAAAUAACUUUCUCUAAGGAACUCGGCAAAAUAAUUCUGUAACUUCGGGAAAAAGAAUGCCCAAAGGGCUGCAAUGAAAAGAUCCAAGCGACUGUUUAUCAAA